rnacentral:rRNA from 1 species
GACGAACCGUGCGAACGUUGUUCGGAAUCACUGGGCUUAAAGGGCGCGUAGGCGGUUGGUCAAGUCAGGGGUGAAAUCUUUCGGCUCAACCGGAAAACUGCCUUUGAUACUGACUGGCUGGAGGGAGAUAGGGGUUGCGGGAACUACCAGUGGAGCGGUGAAAUGCGUUGAUAUUGGUAGGAACGCCGGUGGCGAAAGCGCGCAACUGGAUCUCUUCUGACGCUGAGUGCGCGAAAGCUAGGGGAGCAAACGGG